CAUGGUGCAUAGAUUCUUUUCCUAUCACAGAAUAUCUCUCAAGUACUGAUUGUAGAAGGUGGGUUCUUACCUUCAUUUUUUGAUAAUUCUGUUAAUAUCCCCUUGCCAAUUCCUAAGCAGACUUCAACUGUGCAUUGUACUGAAAGGAGAGAUCUGCUAAAACUCCUGCUACAUCAGUGAAGACUUCAAUUCCUAACGUGAAAAAUUUAGCUUUUAGAAAAAGGGAAAAAUUGCGUAGUAAAAAUAGAGAAGGAAAUGUGAAUUCAGAAUUAAUUGAUCUUGAUUCUGUUGCUGUUGCAAAAACCGAAGAUCCACCAAAGUGGGUUUACAAUUUAACCAUUGCAGCUGAAAAGGUUUUACUAAAUGGUGAAUAGUUAAACGAUAGAAUAAUGAAUGCUUGUCAAGAAUUGAUUAGAGGCAAAUAUCCCCAAGUGCUUGCCUUCAGGACGUGACUUGUGGACAUGCACUGUCAUUUGAAGUUGAAACUGGAGAGUUUAUUCAAAUAAUCCACACUGGCAGAGGCCAUUGGGUAACACUAUCAACAAUUGGGUGUGACAGUGCAGAAAUACAUGUUUUUGAUAGCAUGACUCCAGUCAUAAGCAGUUGCUUAAAAAAUUAAGUUGCAUCAUUACUCUGCAGCAAGGCUGACAUUAUUACU